CAAUUUCUAUGCAUUGUUCUUAGAUUUUUAUUUACUUUAAGCAUCACCCAUUCUGGUAUUAGUCUUGAAACGGAUACUAUUUAUUUUCGAUGAACUCAACUCAUGAUCAUGUGAUGCUUCCAUAAUGUACAAAAUUAUUAACUUGUCAAGGCUAACACUUCCAUUGUUAAUUUUCUUCUCGUUUUAAUUGUUCUAUUAUGGACCCGAAAGUAAAAGAAAACUUGUAAACCUAGAAACUUUCAUCACCAAUCUUUUAAUCUAGGUGUGUAAAAUAUUCUCCAGUUGCACCUAAUUUGUUUAAUCUAGACAAUUUGCAAUCUUGACCCUAUAGCUUGAGUUAUGUAAACUCGAUUGUAACAUCUAUAGUUUUGUUGUUGCAGAAUUUGGAUGAUGGUUUGCAGUGAUAAUAUCUUAAGAAGUUUGUCUCAUGGUGCAAUUGGUGUGUUUUGUUGGCGGAGUAGGAAAUAAAAGAAGUAGAUGUGGAACAGGAAGAGGUAAAUCUGCAGCUGAACGAGGUAAAUCUGGAGCUGAAAGAGUUAAAGCUGGAGUUGGAGGAGGUAAAUCAGGAGCUGAAGGAGGUAAAUCAAGAGCUCAAAGAGGUAAAUGUUGAUAUCGAAGUCAUGACGAGGGAAGUAAACGAAUUGAGGAAAUUAUUAUAUGAUAUACAGAAAUGCAAGGAAAAUGCAACGGUUGAGAACCCAAAUCAAUUUAUCGAUGAUGGAGUCCUUACGGAAACUUAAGAGAUAGGUGGCUCUUAGACAGUAGGAGCAUCUAAUAACUUUGAAGUAAUACUACUAUUUUGUGUUGAUUUGAACUAUUAUUUAUCUUUAUAUCUUUGUGUUUCUCUGGUGCUCUAAACUUUUAUUCUUCUUGUUAGUCAUGCAGAAAAAUCUUUCAUUUUA